rnacentral:rRNA from 1 species
UCCCAGACUCCUACGGGAGGCAGCAGUGAGGAAUAUUGGUCAAUGGCCGAGAGGCUGAACCAGCCAAGUCGCGUGAGGGAUGACGGCCCUACGGGUUGUAAACCUCUUUUGUCGGGGAGCAAAAGACGCCACGCGUGGCGUUCCGAGAGUACCCGAAGAAAAAGCAUCGGCUAACUCCGUGCCAGCAGCCGCAGUAAUACGGAGGAUGCGAGCGUUAUCCGGAUUUAUUGGGUUUAAAGGGUGCGCAGGCGGCUUGUUAAGUCAGGGGGAAAAGCCGGGGGCUCACCCCCGGCGAGCCGUUGAAACUGGCGGGCUGGAGUUGGAGAGAAGUACGCGGAAUGCGCGGUGUAGCGGUGAAAUGCUUAGAUAUCGCGCAGAACCCCGAUUGCGAAGGCAGCGUACCGGCUCCACACUGACGCUGAGGCACGAAAGCGUGGGUAUCGAACAGGAUUAGAUACCCUCGUAC